AGUGUUAGGCCUGUUGUUAGUCACGUCUACCACAGGGUGGCGCCCUGGCGCCCACACGCUUCAUGCGCCACCCUGGGGAGCCAGUCCAGCACCCAUUGGUGCCGUAGCCUCGUUUCACAAAUGAGCAGUCUGUGGUCUAGAGAGGUAAUGGGACCCAGAACAGCAGCCAGUGUAAAGCAGAACCCACUUGAGACAUGUGGCUUAAAGAGGGACACUGUGCUGUGCAAGCGUGGGUGUAGACGGGCCGACAGAGCUUCUUGAUUUGUACGUGAGAAGAAGAUGUGACGUGAAAUUUCCUGGGACCAGAAAGUGUGCCCCGAAUAGAGAGAACAUCACAGGUCACAGAUGGAAGACUCUGGAAGAUGUAUCUGGGGGUACAGCAUUCCCGCUGAAGGCUCCUUCUGGGCCGGGUCCCAGAGCGUCCUGCGUGCGUGCACACUGUCUGCUCCUUUCGCCUCCACCCUUAGCCAUUAAAAAACAUACAAGAACAGGCUUUUUCCUAGUAAGAGUGGAAUGAACGUGCCAGAAGGCAGUGAGACUGUAGAUGUCGGUGGGGUCCAGAAGGACGAGCGCCCCGCUCCCCCAAGCAGAAUGUAGAGACAACCUCCGGUAAAGGGUAGAAUGAGAUUUCGUUUCUACCACUCUGAUGUAAUGGUGGCCUGAAAGGUAAAGUACUGUGAGUCAAAGGAAACUAGAGCUGUAUUUCUUACUG
rnacentral:lncRNA from 1 species